GAACAAAAUCAAGGUGUAUAUCUAUGCUCUGAAAAAGUACGUGGAUGACUUUGGCGUCUCUGUCAGCAACACCAUCUCCCGGGAGUAUAAUGAACUGCUCAUGGCCAUCUCAGACAGUGACUACUACACUGAUGACAUCAACCGAGCCUGCCUGUUUGUUCCCUCCAUCGAUGUGCUUAACCAGAACACACUCCGCAUCAAGGAGACAGCGCAAGCGUUGGCCCAGCUCUCUAGGUGGGAUCGAGGUUCGAAUCACCUGUUGUUCAACAUGUUGCCUGGAGGUCCCCCAGAUUACAACACAGCCCUGGAUGUCCCCAGAGACAGGGCCCUGUUGGCUGGUGGCGGCUUUUCUACAUGGACUUACCGGCAAGGCUACGAUGUCAGCAUUCCUGUCUAUAGUCCACUGUCAGCUGAGGUGGAUCUUCCAGAGAAAGGACCAGGGCAAAUGCGGAGCAAGACUGAGUGGUUCAUGAAGUUGUCGCUUAGGACAUCUUCCUGGAUUUUUCUCCCUUUGUGGACUCCCAGAGUUGACUUAUUUUAUUUUAUUUUUAAAAUUGAGAUUAAUUUAUAUACCAUAAAAUUUACUCUUUUAAUGUGUAUAAUUUAAUGGUUUUUAGUAUAUUCACAAAAUUGUGCAACUAUCAUCAGGCCUACUACCUAAUUCUAGAACAUUUUCAUGACUCCACAAAUAAACCUAAUAUCCAAUAGCAGUCAGUCCCUUACCUCUGUCCCCAGCAAGAAUCCUUAAUCUGCUUUUUCUCUCUAUAGGUUUGCCUAUUCUGGACAUUUCCUAUCAACAUAAUUAUACAAUAAAUGGUCUUUUGUACCUGUCUUCUUUCACUUAGCAUAAUGUUUCCAAGGCUUAUUCAUGUAAUAGCAUGGAAUCAGUACUUCCUUUGUUUUUUGGCUGAAUAUUUCAUCAUAUGAAUAUACCACAUUUUAUUCAUCUCUUCAUCAGUUGAUGGAAAUUUGGAUUAUUUCCACCUGUUAGCUCUUAUGAAUAAUGCUGCUAUGAACAUUUGUAUACAAGUUUGUGUGUAAAGCUGGUUUCAGUUCUCUUGACCUAGGAGCAGAACUGCUGGGUCAUACGGUAGCUCUAUGUUUAACUUUUUGAGGAGCUGCCAAACUCUUUUUCCAAAGCGGCUGCACCAUUUCACAUUCCCACCAGCCAUGUAUGAGGGUUUCGAUUUCCCCAUAUCCUCACUAACCCUUGUUACUGCCUGUGUUUUUUAUUCUAGCCAUCCUAGUGGAUGUGAAGUCGUAUCUUCAUUGUGGUUUUGGUUUGCAUUUCCCCACUGACUAAUAAUUUUGAGUAUCUUUUCAUGUGCAUAUUGGCCAUUUAGAUAACUUCUUUGGAGAAAUGUCUAUUCAGAUCAUUUGCC
rnacentral:sRNA from 1 species